CUCAAUUACUAAUAGUUAAGUUCUUUAAAUUUAAAAAAUUUGGCGGUAAUUUAGUCUAGUCAGAGGAACCUGUUUUAUAAUCGAUAAACCACGAAUUAUCUUAUUUGCUUUAAUUAAUAAAAACUAAAGUUUGUAUACCGCCAUUAUCAGAUAAAUUUUCAAAAAUAUUAUUGAAAUGUAUUAAGUUAAGAUAAAUUAGGUCAAGGUGCAGCUUAUAAGUAAGUAAAAAUGGGUUACGUUAGCGUAAAAAGCUAAUUAAUAAGUUUUGAAUAAUGCUUAAAAAUAGGAUUUGAUUGUAAUUAAAAUUUAAUAAGUUUAAAUAAUAUUAGCACUAAAUUGUGUACAUAUUGCCCGUCG
rnacentral:rRNA from 2 species